UGCCAGCCGCCGCGGUAAUACGGAGGGUGCAAGCGUUGUUCGGAAUUAUUGGGCGUAAAGCGCGUGUAGGCGGUUCGUUAAGUCUGAUGUGAAAUACCCAGGCUUAACUUGGGAGGUGCAUUUGAAACUGAUAGACUUGAGUAAAGAAGAGGUAAGUGGAAUUCCUAGUGUAGCGGUGGAAUGCGUAGAUAUUAGGAGGAACACCAGUGGCGAAGGCGACUUACUGGUCUUUUACUGACGCUGAGGCACGAAAGCGUGGGGAGCAAACAGGAUUAGAUA
rnacentral:rRNA from 1 species